rnacentral:lncRNA from 1 species
UAUAGACUAAGAGCAGCAGUCUGAUAGACACAUGCAUGUUCCUAGUUCUCGAGGACAAGGUGCCUUGAUACUUCUACUUAACAUGCAAAUCAAACGAGAUGCAUGAGUCUUAACGUUCGGUGUAACAGAAGACCUUUGGACACACAGUGCUAUUGCUCUUCCUUGCAUAGUCCAACCGGCCACAAAGAGAGAGAGAAAAGAUGGCGGCCAGAUAUGUCUGUGUGCUGGUCAUCUCUGCAGGUUGGUGGCUUCACAUCUGAUCACAAUAAAUUGAUCAUUACAGCAAAAUCAUUACAAUAAAUAUCAGUUAUGAACAGAGAACCAAUAAGAUUUCUUUCUCCUGGGUUUAGACUGGGAAGUCACUAUAUGUCUUUACUGUCUUACCUAAAGAUCUGGGACACUGAAACAUCACAGAGUAACAGCCCAAUGAUCAGCUACAGUAUAACUGUGGGUGAGGGUGAUGGAUGAAUAUAAAUAAUUCCAAAUAUUACCAAAUUUAACACAUCACACGUUUUACCAUAAUCUCUUGCUUAGACACCAUUCACAAUAAAACCAAAAACCUAUGGGUGAUCAAAAGAUAAAGAUCCAUCAGUACCUGUUCCAUCUUACUAAUCUAUUUAGUAUUUAUGUCUUCUUUAUGUUUUUUAUGUAUAGGGGUGAUCAGUUUGAAUGGAAUACUGGCAUCUUGGAUAAUGGGGUUUCAACACUCUGAGAUUAGACAGAAGUCUUCCAUAAAGUCAUUCACAAUCAACUCAGAUGCAGCUCAAACAGAGAUGACAACAUUAGUGAGUACAUUAGAUGUGACAAAAGGUGUGUCGAACUCGCCAAAGACACAAAUAAUCACAAACAUUCCUGAAACUGCAUCAGUGAAUAUGAUGUCUGGAUCAUCUGUGGUAUCAAAAGCAUCAUCCGUUGCUAUUGCUGAACCCUCUCGGCAAACAACAGCUGAGAUGGCAGCAGUGAGUGCAGCUGGGGCAGUCAGAUCUACAGCUGCGGGAACAAUCGUCUUGUCUGAGACUAUAGAGAAAGUUACGAUUUUACUUGGAACGAAAAAGGCAGAAAGACAGGAAACAGCAGAAACAACUCCAGGUGAAACAGUCACCACAUAUAAACAAACAAAAGAACAUGCCAGUGUGGAAACACUGACAAAUACAGCUCAAAAACCACCUGAACCUGAGAGCAUAAGUGAUAGUGAUAUCAUACAAACAUAUGAAAGAGAAACAGGUGUGACAAUAUUUGAGAAACCAUCAGAAAAAAACACCAUACCAAAACUAGGAUCAGAGACAACCAGAUUUGCUCCAACUAUAACAGCUACAGCUAAUAUCAGGAGUGCAACUCCAAUACCUGAACCAGUGACAGACAGAGGAACACAUUUCACUAACAACAAACUGAAAACGUCAAAAAUCAACCCCGGAAAAUAA